CCGGUGGCGGAUGGGCAUGCGGCGCAUUAGCUAGUCGGCGGGGUAACGGCCCACCGAGGCGACGAUGCGUAGGGGUUCUGAGAGGAAGGUCCCCCACACUGGUACUGAGACACGGACCAGACUCCUACGGGAGGCAGCAGUGAGGAAUAUUGGUCAAUGGGCGCGAGCCUGAACCAGCCAAGUCGCGUGAGGGAUGACGGUCCUAUGGAUUGUAAACCUCUUUUGCCGGGGAGCAAGCGUGCGUUCGUGAACGCGCGUCGAGAGUACCCGGAGAAAAAGCAUCGGCUAACUCCGUGCCAGCAGCCGCGGUAAUACGGAGGAUGCGAGCGUUAUCCGGAUUUAUUGGGUUUAAAGGGUGCGUAGGCGGGAUGCCAAGUCAGCGGUAAAAAUGCGGUGCUCAACGCCGUCGAGCCGUUGAAACUGGCGUUCUUGAGUGGGCGAGAAGUAUGCGGAAUGCGUGGUGUAGCGGUGAAAUGCAUAGAUAUCACGCAGAACUCCGAUUGCGAAGGCAGCAUACCGGCGCCCUACUGACGCUGAGGCACGAAAGCGUGGGUAUCGAACAGGAUUAGAUACCCUGGUAGUCCACGCAGUAAACGAUGAAUGCUAACUGUCCGGCUCGAAUGAGCGCUGG
rnacentral:rRNA from 1 species